AGAGAGAGACAUGCGCGCAUAUCAAUAAGCGGAGGAAAAGUAACUAACUAGGAUUCCCUUAGUAACGGCGAGUGAAGCGGGAAGAGCUCAAAUUUGAAAUCUUCAAGGUUUUACCUUGACGAAUUGUAGUUUAAAGAAGUGUUUUCUGCUGAAGUUUUGGUAAAAGUUCUUUGGAAUAGGACAUCAUAGAGGGUGAGAAUCCCGUAUUUGACCAUUAUUUUCAGCUUUGUGAUACACUUUCAAAGAGUCGGAUCGUUUGGGAAUGCAGUCCAAAAUGGGUGGUAAAUUUCAUCUAAAGCUAAAUAUUGGCGAGAGACCGAUAGCGAACAAGUACCGUGAGGGAAAGAUGAAAAGAACUUUGAAAAGAGAGUUAAACAGUACGUGAAAUUGUCAAAAGGGAAGCGUUUGACACCAGUGUUGUUUUCUCGAAAAUCAAUUAAAAAUGGCUCGAUUUUGUAUUGUUGAGACCUUAAAAGCUCACUGUACAUUUUUCGUGUCUUUUUUAAUGCACUUUUCGUUUAACAAGUCAACAUCAGUUUCUUUUGUUGUAAAAGGGUCAUUGGAAGGUGGCUUUCUUUUCGGAGAAAGUGUUUAUAGCCUCUGGCCUCUGCAAUCGAAGAGACUGAGGUCUGCAGCGUAGACUCCUUCGGGGUUAGAUACAUUUGUGCUAAGUUAUAGCCUUUUCAUAGACAACUUGUUGACUAUAAUUAGUCUUGUAGCUUACUCGCUUAUGCUAUUUUACCUACGCUUAGGAUGUUGAAGUCAUCGUAUCGCGC
rnacentral:rRNA from 1 species